rnacentral:rRNA from 1 species
AGUCUGGUGCCAGCAGCCGCAGUAAUUCCAGCUCCAAUAGUGUAUACUAAAGUUGCUGCAGUUAAAAGCUCGUAGUUGGAUUUCGGUUAAUGAAAAGUUAGUCCACUUAAUAUAUAAGUGCGUACUGACGUUUUAUUUCCUUCUUUUCAGAUAUACAACUUGUUGUGUUCUGAAUCUUUUACUUUGAGAAAAUUAGAGUGUUCAAAGCAGGCGUAACCAAGCCUUUGAAUAUAUUAGCAUGGGAUAAUGGAAUAAGACCUUUUGCCUUAUUUUCGUUGGUUCUUGAGGCUAAAGUAAUGAUUAAUAGGGAUAGUUGGGGUCAUUAGUAUUUAAUUGUCAGAGGUGAAAUUCUAAGAUUUAUUAAAGACUAACUACUGCGAAAGCAUUUGACAAGGAUGUUUUCAUUAAUCAAGAACGAAAGUUGGGGGAUCGAAGAUGAUCAGAUACCGUCGUAGUCUCAACCAUAAACUAUGCCGACCAAGGAUUCGGGGGUGUUAUAUGAAUGACCCUCCGGGCACUUAUAGAGAAAUCAUAAGUAUUUGGGUUCCGGGGGGAGUAUGGUCGCAAGGCUGAAACCUAAAGGAAUUGACGGAAGGGCACCACCAGGAGUGGAAUAUGCGGUUUAAUUUGACCCAACACGGGAAAACUUACCAGGUCCAGACACAGUGAGGAUUGACAGAUUGAGAGCUCUUUCUUGAUUUUGUGGGUGGUGGUGCAUGGCCGUUUCUAGUUGGUGGAGUGAUUUGUCUGGUUAAUUCCGUUAACGAACGAGACCUUAACCUAUUAAAUAGUUACACAUACUUGGGAUUCGUCCUAAUAGUAUGUGGUUAACUUCUUAGAGGGACUCUUCACGUAAAGAGUGAAUGGAAGUUUGAGGCAAAAACAGGUCUGUGAUGCCCUUAGAUGUUCUGGGCUACACGCGUGUUACACUGAUAUAUUCAACAAGCAUUAUAAUUCCUUACCCGAUGGGGUUGGGUAAUCUUUUAAAUGUAUAUCGUGAUGGGGAUAGACCAUUGUAAUUAUUGGUCUUGAACGAGGAAUUCCUAGUAAGUGCAAGUCAUUAGCUUGCGCUGAUUACGUCCCCCCUUUGUACACACCGCCCGUCGCUCCUACCGAUGAAUGGUCCGGUGAGGACUCAGGAUGACCGUGGAUUUUGGUAUAAUAUACCAUGCCAUUGUUUGUCAGAAUCUGUUCAAACCUUAUCAU